rnacentral:rRNA from 1 species
GAUGAACGCUGGCGGCGUGCCUAAUACAUGCAAGUCGAGCGAACAGACGAGGAGCUUGCUCCUCUGACGUUAGCGGCGGACGGGUGAGUAACACGUGGAUAACCUACCUAUAAGACUGGGAUAACUUCGGGAAACCGGAGCUAAUACCGGAUAAUAUAUUGAACCGCAUGGUUCAAUAGUGAAAGACGGUUUUGCUGUCACUUAUAGAUGGAUCCGCGCCGCAUUAGCUAGUUGGUAAGGUAACGGCUUACCAAGGCAACGAUGCGUAGCCGACCUGAGAGGGUGAUCGCCCACCCUGGAACUGAGACACGGUCCAGACUCCUACGGGAGGCAGCAGUAGGGAAUCUUCCGCAAUGGGGGAAAGCUUGACGGAGCAACGCCGGGUGAGUGAUGAAGGUUUUCGGAUCGUAAAACUCUUUUAUUAGGGAAGAACAAAUGUGUAAGUAACUAUGCACGUUUUGACGGUACCUAAGAAGAAAGCCCCGGCUAACUACGU